UACGUAGGUGGCAAGCGUUGUCCGGAUUUAUUGGGCGUAAAGCGCGCGCAGGCGGUCCUUUAAGUCUGAUGUGAAAUCUUGCGGCUCAACCGCAAGCGGUCAUUGGAAACUGGGGGGACUUGAGUACAGAAGAGGAAAGUGGAAUUCCACGUGUAGCGGUGAAAUGCGUAGAGAUGUGGAGGAACACCAGUGGCGAAGGCGACUUUCUGGUCUGUAACUGACGCUGAGGCGCGAAAGCGUGGGGAGCAAACAGG
rnacentral:rRNA from 1 species